CCCACGCUGCCGCUCCUCCCAAUCCGCGUCCUCCUCUGCCUCUCCGCACAUCUCGCUGCUCCACGCCUCGUCCUCCUCCUCCCUCCGCUCGCGGUCGCCUCUCCCGAUAGAUCUGGUGCCAGGGUUCGUGACGCUAGCGGACGGGGGAGCGGAGACGUGGGGGGGGAUGGGGAAUCUGCGUGGCGGCCUCCACGAGCAGAUCGAGCCAUGGCGGCAGCGGAGGAAGCCAUGGCACCGGCGCAGAUCGACGUGAGGAUGGACGUGGCGCUGCUCCACUGCCAGGCAUGCCUCCUCCCCCUCAAGCCCCCAUGUUCAGGGACUUCGGCUGGGACCUACCACGGCGUGGCGAAGCACAAGCGCGUGUGCCCGUGGAUACCCUGCUCAUGCCCGCAGCCGGACUGCGCCUUCCUCGGCCCCCCGGCAGCGCCAAGCCCCUCGUCGAGCUCGAGGCGCAUGACGACUAUGGCAAUUGGCGCCAAAUCCCGGAUUUCAUUGGAACAUGUGUGAAGAAAUGCAUGUCACCUAGUACUUCGAGCCGGUGGCCACCUUCUUCUUCACCCAGAAGAAGGCUUUCUCCAUGAUUAAUAUAAAUUAUGCAAGGAUUAGAGGAAGGAGGGGAGCUGGCCUUCUUCAUGUCUCGGGGGAGUGUCUUCCUUGGAUUCAACAAGAAGGGGACCCGGCCUUCUUCACGUCUCGUGCAACAAGGGUGAUUGACGCGGACAACCACAGCCCGGUGGGUUUCCUGCUCUUCAACCACUAGGAGGCGGACUUCACCAUGAAGCCCGGAGACUGCGUCAUGCAGAUGACUGUCCAGGUGAUUGCGAAUUGCGACACCGGAGGUCGCUGAGGUGGAGGACCUCGAUGCCACCGUCCGGCGGGAGGGAGGGUUCGGGUCCACUGGUAGUUGAACUCCAAGUCUUGGUAGAUACAUCUAGACAAGUGGUAUGGUUGUUUGCGUCUGGUGUUAAAUGGGAUCUCGUGAACUCUACGAGCUGAGAUGUUCAAUGUUGCGUCCAUGAACACUGCAAGUGCUAAGAUUGGUUAUGUGAUCUUAGUUUAUUUUGCACUGGACAUGUCUUGAUUUCCAUCCACGAAUACAGCAUCUGACUUUUA